UCGUUCCCACCCCGCAGCGUAGAUAUAAAGGUGGCGAGCGCGAAUAACGCCUCCUCUUUCCCCACGGAGCGGCUGCUAUGGCAGUACACGGUGUGAUGGAGAGGAGAUUUUCAUUGGUGCCAAGUACAUUGUACAUUAAGCACCUCAUGGAAGGACCAUCCCAAGUAGAAUACUGGGUACACACAAGUGGAUUUUCCUGAAAGCUGUAGUGGCAUGAACAGUUUCUAGUAUUGACAAUGUGACAUGGCCUGAAGAAAGAUUUCCUCACAACAGGAAAUAAAACAGAGGAAAACCCUGUUUUAUACAAAACAAGUAGGAACAAGUGCUUUUGGCUUAUUCAGUGAUGAAUCGGAGCACUUUGUCACAACUGCCUGACAAAUGCAGAUGAUGUAACCAGAAGGAAGUGUAACGCCUGAAGAGAUACUGUGACUUGGAGUGGGAUGCCAUGCUUUUAAAAGCCUGCGAAAACAGCUUUCAUUUUUUUCAGUAUAUACUGUCUCUGCAUAUUUAAAACACCAUCUUUCCAAAAUACUAGGCUGUCUUCUGUAGGAAGUGUAGCAGUAAUAUUAGGGAUGGAGUACAUGGAAAACCCCUUGGAUUUUUUUACCCUUUUAAAAUACCAUGGGUACACAGUCUUGCAGAUACUAGAGAUCUGUGAUAACUCAUGACUGGAGCUCACAAGCAGGCCCUGUAAAGACAAAAGAAAAAGACAGUGUCUACACCUGCAUCACUGUAUCUAGCAAGGGAGUGAGGAGUUGGGGUUUUAUGAACUGCCCUUUCAGCAGGAGAAAACUAGGAUCACAACAGUGGAACUGCCUUUUGAGGAAUACACUGGCAACAGUACUGCUUGCUCUCUGGGGAAAAGAAGCUGGUAGUGGCAAAAGAGUUACAUUGGAACUUGGUCUUUUGUCUUGGUUUGAAAAGACAGGUGUCUGCUAAGGAAGGCAGGAGCCUCCCUUAAAAUCGAAGUAAAGGGGCAUUCAGGCAAAGAUAGAGGAGUAGGAAUAACAGUUCUUUACUAGGAAAAAUGAAAGUAAAAAUGAAAAUGCAGUAAUACAGACCAACACUGACAGAGUCAGAAUACAGCCUGACAACCCUGUUGGUCAGGUUGUUGGUAGCAGUCGGAUGAAAUGGUGACUGCAGUGCUGGAGUGACAAGUGUCAUUCUGUUGAAGCAGUGAUCCUGUAGAAGGCUGUAGUUUUCCUCUGAAGGUCCAGUGGUGGUGUAGAUGGGCAUGGUCUUCCUCUGGGAAUCCAGUGGGAGAAGGCUGACUGUGGUAUUCCAAAUCUCAUUAUAUCCAGGUAGGAAUGCUUGGCUCCUCCCUCUGGGUGGAGCAUCUCACAAUUGAAUCAGUCAUGGAAUGAGACCCAAAGGCCCGUGAACAGAACAUGUCUUCCUGGAGGGAGGAUUGUGGAAGAGAUAAAGAAAACUGCCCAAUUAACAGAAUGAUAAAAGCCCCAUCUCUAACAGAUGGCAAAUAGAAUACACACCCUCAGCUGCAUCUUCCAACCUAAGUUGGCUUUUAACAGUCACUUAAAAAGAGCUGGUGCUGUAAUGACAGCUGUAUUCAGCAAGCUGUCCCUUUCACAGGUAUGAAGGAUCAUAAUUUGGAUCAUGAAAAGGAUCACAAGUAAAUUUAAAGGCAAUUGAUGAUGUACAUUAGGUAAAGUUGGCCUUAAAGCAUCACUUUAAAGGCUUAUUGUCAGGAAUUCUUUAUAACAGCAGAAAAAUUACAAUAGCAUAAUUAAAAAUAAAGUGUCCAGCAUGCUACUGAAGUGGAUGCUAAGGAUCUGACUGAACUCCAGGAGUGCUCAGUGAACUCACUGAGCUCCAAUGGUUUGCUUAUUAAGCACUGCCAGCUACUUUGGCUAAAGGCUGCUCCUUUUGAGCAUGGAAUGGUAAAUCAGACUAUUGAAUAUCAAGAUCUGCAGAAAUAAACUGGAAAACAGCUUUCUCUUCAUUGCUUUCAAUAAUACUUGUUUCUGUUAACAUGUUCCUGAGGGUGGUGUGGUUUUUCAUGUGCUGUGCUUUGUACAUGCUUUUUGAAUAAAGAUGAGGAGGUUAAAGUUGCAUGUCAGCUGUGGAUCAAACCACAGUGUUCCUUGACUGCUUGUACUUCUCAAGAGCUAUGGAGGUAGUGUGGCCUUGUGCUGUCUGGUGCAGCAUGUACUGGGCACACAAAGCUUCAUGUUGUGCUUGAGUGACUCCAGGACAGAAACUACCGACUGCAUACUCAGGAAGUCAGAAGGUAAGAUUAGUGUCAAUCUUCUGCCCACUGCAGAUCUUUAGAAGGUGGGUGCUGUUAACAGCAUCUAGUAGAGCUGCUUGACUGGUAAGUCUAGAAGUUGUGAGUCCUAGCUAUGUGUCUUCUGGAUGUUAAGAUGUUCAAGAGCAGAGAGAUAGUUGAUCAAGUAGCAAUAUUUGGUAAGUACUUUGUUGGGUAUUCAAAGGCAUAUAUAACUUUGUUACAGGAUCAGAAGAGUGGCACAUGGCUUUGAAAAUAAAGGUACCUUUAUCCUUCAGCUGAUGUUAAUACAGAAUGCUAACCUUUGAAAAGAAUGCUAUAUGUAUGUGCAGUAAACUUGGUGAAAGUGAGUUUAUCUUGUGAUGUUGGGGAUGAAAUAGAAGACUAAACGUUCAGGGUUGUGGGUGGCACUUCAGGUACCCAAAGUAUUUCAUGACAGUCUUGCUCUAUGUUCUAAAUAAUUUGUUAGGGAUGGUCUGGGAGGUAGGAUUGGCAGCAAUAAAGAGUGCCAGGAAAUAGUUACUGCAUAUCAGUGUGGUGGAGGUGUGUCAGAAUGUUAAAUCGUGAAAAAGAUUAGGCUCUCAGCACAUAAAAGAAGGUAGAUGUGGCCAAUGGUAAAGUAUAUUCAAUAUUGAGUUGUAGAACUUUCUCAAGGAACGAUCCAGUGCUUCAGAGCUACGGAAAAUUGGUAGCCAGUUAAAAAAUGUAUUAGUAGUAUAGGGCAUCAAGUGUUUACAGAAGUGAAUUACUGUUUUAACCAUGACAUGUUGCAGAGGAUUUGGUUUAUAACACUAGUGAAAAUUAUGUAGGAAGAUCAUUUUUAUAAUCAAUUUUAAGAUUGAAAAGAUGGCUUUUUUUGCCUUGUGGGAAGGGGUUAAUAUGCUUUCAAACCAGUUGUGUUUUUCUGGUACAAUUUCUGGAGUAGUGUUUAAUAUAAGUGAGAUAAGGAGAUGUAGUGUUUGAGAGUUACUGUGUGACGUGUUUGGAACAUGUGGCAUGGGAUUUCUCUGCAAAAGCAUUUAAUGAAACUUCAGGUUUACAAAACAGAUUGUGCAGAAAACAGCAUGAAAGCAUUUUGCUGCUUUUGUGCAUUAGUCCAGUGAAGUCUUGCACUAUCAUUAGUGGAGAGCUAGAAGUGUCACAUGGCUGUUAGGCUGUGGUCCAAGUAAUUGGUGGUUAAACAAACUGUUCUGGAAUGUUCCAUUUAUCAGUCUUAGUAACUGGGCAAAACCAGCAGAGACUUAGUAAUUACUUGAAUGUUGAGGUUACAAGCAAGAGAAGUACCUUGCAACCACAUGGCAAAUUCGAGAGUAGCUGCACAAAUGCUUUGCUAUGUUUGAAGUAACAAGGUCGUUAUUAAGGUUGCAGGUUUUGUCUUGCUGAAGAACUUGUCUUACUGGUGAAGGCUGUGAUCUAUAAUCAAGAGUUGCAAGUGAGUGAAACUAAGCUAGCAGUGGUUAUCUUGCCACAGCACCCACACUGCUAUGUGACUGCCAUUGCUGAUGUGAUACCUGCUUGAAGUACCAGAUCCCAGUGAACAGGAAUUUCAGAAUAAGCUGUGCUGUCUGGCUGCCAUCCUGCAGAAGAGUGUGACCGUGGUUGCAGCUGUAUAGUGUGCUGGUGUUGGGGUUCCUACCAUCUUUCCUGCAGGAAAGCUCUUAACUAUAAAUUUGCCAUAUGAAGUUUGGGGUAUGUGUUCUGCCAUAAAAAUUAAAAACCAGAAAUGAGUUGAUAGAGAAAAGCAUUCCAUAGGACAUUCAAACAUGGACACAGCGGAAUCCGCAAGUGUUUGACUUUGCCCAAAGAGAAAGGUAUUCUUUAUACUGAAGAGUGUUUAGUCCUAACUGGUAGCUCUUCUUCACACUCCCUCCCUUUGUCCCAGAGGACAAUCUUUGAGCUAUCAUCUGGAGUAUGAAUGAAUUUAACAGAAAAAUAGUAAUUUCAGAGGAGUGGAGUACACACGGAGGCUUUAUAUGCAUGUCUGAUGAUGUACAUUCUUUAUUUUUGGUGUUACACAUGGUUUUACAAGUAUUUUUGCUUGUCUGCCCUUGUAUUUCCCUCAGAGGAUAUAAACUGGAAAAGUACAAUUAGAAUGAUGAAUUCUACUUCCUCUCGAACAUCAUGUGGCUUUUUAGUUGAUAGUCCAGUUGAGCUAUCAGGGCUAUGAAGACAGUACUUCUCUGCCAUUGUUUCAAACUUCCUGCAGGCUCCGGAGGACAAAGUGGUGUUUGAUGCUCAGAAGAAUGGCUGUAUUGAGUGGGACAAAGUCUGCCUCGUUCAGUAUUCUGUCUGACGAUGAUCACUAUAAGGAACAGGAGAAGUAUACAGAGCCUUUCCAGUAGUUUUCUUGGGAAUUUUCUGAGGUUUUCAUUUGUAUUUGAAUACUACUUUGCAAUUAUGACCUAUCUCCAUUUAAAAAUAUUUGAAACAUGAAUGAUAUAUGGGCUCUAAAAUCGAUGAAGUAGUAUGUUAAUAAGUGUAGGGAGGGUAGGAUUGGGAGGGGGCUGAAGUAAAAGCUUUUUUUCCCCCCUCUUUCUGAAGCUGAUGUCACUUUCAAUUCUCAUGUUACUAAAAACAGUGGUAAGUGAAGUUCAUUGAGGGCCCCUGUACUAGGACAGCCUUGCUGUUUAAUUGAGGUGUGUUGGGUGGGAAAACAUGAAGCACUUAGUGUGCUCUUACCCUUGAGCUAUACUUCAGGCUUCUCACCAGCCCAAUAAACACUAUCUUUUGCCCUGAAACUGGAAUUCUCCCUAACUGAAGGAGCACUCUCCCAGCAUCAAUGGUACUAGUUUUAUUGUGGCAGGUGAAGAAUGAUUAAUAUCUGCCCCAAAAUGAAGUUCAGUCUUUUUUGUGGAAGAAAGAGAUGAAUGGACUGUAAUAAAUGCUUGGCCCUUUGAAAUUGGUAAGUUGAUUGGAAAGUAAAGGUAUUUUUAAAUAGUCUUAAGAUCACUGAAGAAGAAUAUACAGCUAUUGCUAUAUCUGGGUUUCAUCUCACCUUGACAAAAUAGGAAAUAAUUUGCUCUAGGCUUACCUUGGUUUCUUUCAGAGGGAGGACUAUUGCAGAUACUACGGUCCUGUGAAAAGCAUUUGAGACUUAAACUCUUGUGUGUGUCUCAAGGUUUAAGCCCAGCCAGUAACUAAAUACCACAUCCUACCUGCCCUCAUAGGAUGGAGAGGAGAAUAUGAGGAAAGGUAAAAGCAAUAGGUUGAAAUGAGAACAGAAUUGAAAUUAAACGUAAUAAUUGUACCAUGAAGGAAGACAACAAAGGGAAAGCCCAAGAUAAGCAAGUGAUGGUAUACAAUACAAUUUGUGAUCACCUGCUAACAUACCCAGCCUGGGUGAUGGAUCCGUGCCUCCUGGCCAGCUUCCCUCAGUUUAUGUACUGGGCAUGAAAUGCUAGUAUAAAAUAUCCUCUUGGCCAGUUUAGGCCAGCUGUCCUAGCUUUGCUCCCUCCUGGAGCUUCUUGAGCCCCUCCUGAGUUGCAGAGACUUCUGGUUGUUGCUAAGUGGUGCUACCCCAACAUCCAACCGUUAUCAGCUCUGUUCUCAUACUGAAUCCAAACCAUGGCUCUAAGAAGAACCAGCUACUAUGAAGAAAGCUAACUAACCCAGCUGAAACCUUGAUGGUGUGUUAGCUCUGUCUAGUAGUUAGGUCAUUUUCUGCAGCAAAAAGUACAGGUUAAACUGCUGUCCUUUGUUUCAUGCACUCCACCAGAAAAGUACAAUAUUGAAACAUGGUGAGGGGCAAUUCUUAAUGUCGUUUUGGCUUCAUAACUAAAACAGUUCAGGGUAUGAUUAUUCAUUCCCCACAGUAUAUUAGAAUAAGCAUUUUUUGAAAGUAGUUGGACUAUGUGGUUUCUGAUCCUGAUAAUUUGAUUAAACUGCCUAUUUGCUACUGCAAAUAGAAAGAGAAGUUUGGUUUGUGGGAAUUAGUGCUCCUUUCCCUCUUCUUGUUUCACAGAUUAUAAACCACACAAUAUAAAAAAUUUAACAGCAGGAACAGGAGUUACCUCUAAAACAUCUUGAAAUAGCAAUUUAUAAUAGAUACUAUUUAAGUGCUGAGUGCUUCCUCAAAAACCUGCAUGGCAGAGAAUAAUGUCUAGGCUUUUGAAAAUAUUUCUGAAGUAGUACUCUUACACUUGUCUGAACUGGCUUCUCUUCAUUUACAUGUACUUCAACUUAAUUUCUGUUGCUAGUGAGAAGUUGUUCAGUAUAGUUUCUGCUAAUUUGACAUACAGGAUGUAAGGCUGCUGGAAGCCUUUUUCCAUGUAAAAAUAUCUUAAUAUGGUGAUCCUCUGGCAGGGGUUCGCUGCAAGAUGUUUUGUCAUGGUUUUAAAUGCUAUGAGAAGUUGUCUGGAAAUUCUAUAAUACUUUCUCCUGAGAGUAUUACGUACUUUCUAGUUUUAUAAUUGAAAAAGUAACACUGAACAACUGUAGCAACUGCUUGUAUAUUUUCUAUAAAAGUGCAGUCCCUUUAUGAGCCAUGGUGGAUAUAGGAAAAUCUAAAGCUUUUACCUUACAAACAUGAAAAAAUAUGAUUUGCUAGGAGCUGCAGAUGUGAAGAGACCUAUGAUGUAAGGACCAUUGACUUGCUGAUGGCUAUUGCCUGACAGCGCUAACUUUUAAGGGAAAAAUAGCCACUCAGCUUUGGUUUUUGGUUGAAGAAACUUGACAGUGACCAGGGUGGUUCACUAUAUUGAAACUCUCUCACCUACCUGUAAGAGAAGAAGAGGAAUUCUGUUAUUCUCAGUAGUGCUCCUGGAGGUGCUGUCUCUUGGUUUUAUUAGCUGUUUAUUCCUAAGGGCUACUUGGAGUUCUCUAGUUGUGAUUUUUUUCACUGAGGCGAGACUAGGGAAUCCUGAAGUAUUGUUGACUAUUAACUAGUAAAAUACAUUUAAAAUUACAAAAGAAGUAUGCAUAUUUAGUCUUUCCAAAAGUUACAUCUUUUAUAGAAAGCCUGAACUUCUAGAGAUAAUCUACUCUAUCUCCCACCAUAAAAUUUCUUACUCUGGGCCAAAGUUGGGACCUUGGUGUCCAAAACUUUUAUAUUGCACUCAGUUUUGUCCCAGUCUCUUAAAGAUACUAUUCCUCCUUUUCUAUACUAGUCCUGUAUUGAUUUCCUUUUAGCAGUUAUGUAUUAAACAUUAAAAACCACAAAAUUCCGUAAGACUACUACAUAAGCGUUCAGUAUUAAUCCCAGAAGGGAUGAAAGAAUACAUGAAACUUCUGUGAAGGGAAAAAAAGAAAUAUCUCUGGGACUUGAGGAUAUAGUAAUGAAAUUGAAAUAUGUGAUUAGUUUUAAAAACAAGACCAGCUCCUGUAGUUGAUGUGAUUUGACAGCUGGGAUUUGCUCUUCAGAAAUCAGAGACAGAGCCUGCAGAUAUGUCACUUAUGAGGCAAAUUGCAGAUCUAUCAGCAAGGACAGCUAGCAGGACUUCACGUUGUUUCAGAUAUGGAAGGGAAAUACUUUCUCUACUUCUGUGUUCAUACAGAGCUUUCUGCUGGAAAGCUUCAGGCUAUAAAGUAGGUGUUAGGAAAAAAGAGUGGAAGGUGAUAAAAUAAAAACCUUUCCCUACUCACAAUUAAUGUAAUAGGGCUAAAACUCAACUGUAUUUUGUAUAAUAUUCUCCAAAAAGCCAUAACCAUUUUUCAGAAAUAUCUCAAUUCUGCAGAAAUAGGCUUGGUUGAACUCACUCUUCUCUCCUUGACUAUUUUGAAGUUUGGCUGGGAAACAGGCACCUUGAAUUCAUUAAAAAGGCAGAAAUUAACGUCUGUGAAGAUGACAGCCUUUUCUAUAGCAGCAGCAAAAAGGACUAUCAGCAGAAUUGGCAUCUGGCCCUGGAAGCAAAACAUUCUGAGCUUCUGCUCAAGCUUCCAAAAGAAGCAUGAUAAUGAGGUUUUAAAAAAUUCCUGGGCUGUCUUGAUUUCAUAUACAGGCUAAUCCUACUGCUCAACUUUGGUGAUUAAGAUAAAUAAUAUAGAAAAUACUGUCUUGGGCCAAGCAACGGUAAGUUAUGAAGUAUUUAUUUUCUGUGGUUCACUGAGGUAGUGUUCCCUUUUGCUGGGAUUUAACCUUAACAUGAAUGUAGUCAUUGUUGGGGUGCACAGACUCACUGCUUGCUAAAACAUCUGACUGGCAGCUGGGAUGUCAGAGGCUCAGAGGGAAAGCUGAUGUGUCACCAGCACUACUAUCAGCCUUAUGGUGGAAGAGACCAUUUGUGCCACCUUGACUGAGCUACAGAAAGCAGGUGAACUUCUAAGCUUGGAAUGUCUCACAUUUGGGGUUUGUUGGGUUGUUUUUUGUUUUGGUGUAGAUUGGGGGAUUUUGUGCAUAGCUUACGUAAGUUUCUACUUUAAUAGCCUUCCCUUCUUAAUUCUGGUUCUAAUUUUUUCCAUUGUUCACUGAGACUGAAGCAGUUUGAAAUAUUUUCAGAUUAAAAAAAAAAAUUGUUCUGCACUUUCCUCAUGGCCUCUUUUGGCUGCAGCAGGUCUGUAUCAAUACUGUUGAUCUGAAAUUUGUUAAUAGUUUUCACGCAUCAAGUUUACUAACCAGGACUGGUCUUUUAAUAGAUUUUUAAAGGGAUAAAAGUUGGCACUAAAUUACAAACCUCUGCCUUUUAGUGUACACAAGAUCAUCUCUUGGGUAAGAAAUAUUGUAUAAUGUUUCUUAUGAGACAUAUAAGAUGUGGAUGUAGCAGUAAAAUCUACAAAUGCCUGACCUGGAAGGGUAUGAAAGAAUUUUGAAAUUUCUGCAGUUAACUGUCAUCAGUGAUUUUAACUGUUUUUUAUGGACAUGCUCACUCAGCUAUUUUUAUUGAUUCUGCUGUAACUAAGAAUUGAUGUAUUGGCAGUAAAAAUGCAUAUUCUUACACACAGUUGCAUUGUCUCCUCUUGCUGCUCAGUAUGUGCCUCCAAACACUGCUCUCCAUUUGUACACAACUCCAGUUGGAAAAUACAAGAGCUAUUAGAAAUAUUUUGGUUAAUUUAAAUGUGGUGUCAAUAAACAAGUUCACAGAUUUAUUAGCCAGAUAUUUAUUCAGUCAUAAACUGGUUUUUUUAAUUGACCCUAAUACAUUUAAAUUUCCAAAAUGAAACUUCCCUGUAAAUGUUCUUACUUACUGGUAUUUUAAGAUCUGAACUUUAAAAAAGAAAAAAACAACCUUUUAUGUUUUUUAUAGGAUCCAAACUAACUGCAAAUUUUUUAAAAAGCAGAUUAAAAGCAUAAUAUUCUUUAUCUGUCCUCUGCAGAUCGCAGAAUAGCAAUUUAUUUUUUCUAGUUACAGGUGCUGUGAAAAAUUAAAACUUUGCUUCUGUAAAGAUCUAAACCUGUGCUUCUAGCAGCACAAUACAGCUGCAUUAGUUGUACCAGGUUUGAGCACAGGUUUUGUUGCCUGCACUGCCCUGUGCAAAACUGUGAAGAGAUUGCUGGUUAAGGCUGCACAAGCUGGAAAGGGAAAAGUCAUACACAUGUGCUGAAGCUCUACUUUAGGUUAAGAUCUAAUUCUAGUAUCACUCAAGGCCCAUGUAGAAGUAGAGAGUAGAUCUUCCAAAAGAAGAUGACUGAAAAGCAGCAAGCACAGUCUGGAGUACUGAUAGAGUCAGAGUUCUUCAUCACUGUGCUCUGGUCUGAUAUUUGUGCUGUAAAUGAGAACUCCAUAGGGCAGCACUCUCCACGUAUCUUUAAGAAAUAAAAUAAAAAUUCAUUUGUACAGAAAAGGUUGCAUUGUCUGCUAUUGGGAUCCGCAGAAAUGCUGCAUUUUGGUAGUCACUUCUGCCUUACACCUGGCAAAGGUCAUAAAUGUGUGUGUGUGUGUGAGCUUGUUCUAUUCUUACAAGGACCUUGAAGACACAAGGUUAUUUGGGCUCACCCAUCCUUGAAAGGAUUUUUAGGUUCUUUGGUUACAGGCUAAGUAGCCUGGAACACUUGACCUGAAAGCUGUGGAUUGCAGCUGCUGCAUCAGACACUUUCCUGAGUAAUCAGCCAUGGAAUUACUAGCCAGUUAAAAAGGGCUGGGAUAUAAGCCCAAUUUCUGGCUACUGAUCAUCCAUACCAUAAAGGGUUAAUGCAGUCUGACAGCUAAAGCCUGGGCAGCAGUUUAAUAUUUGGGCAUGGAUUAGAAGUUAAGGUGGGUGAGAGCUGUGGGAAUGCAAGCUGUGCUCUCCAUGUUUGCCUUACAGCUGGAGAGCAGCCCACGACCUGCCCCAUCUCCUGUAGGCUGUGGCCAUUGUGCCUGUGGUGUGCUGUGCUCCUCACUCCUGGGAAAGAUGCCCAGAGCUGCAGAAGAACAUUCUGUGACCCAGUGACAUGCUGUCUGCCUUCGGAGAUGGGCUUAGUGCCGCAGUGUUGCUAUAGCACAGACAUAAAACAAAACUGAGAGAAGAAUUUAACAUCUUCAGUCUAUACAUAAAAUUCAACAGCAGAAGAAUUCAUUCCUGGGAAAGCCUCAUUCUUCCUCAUUGCCAGGCUUGUUCUCUGCCUGCAACUAUCUGGGCAAAUAUUAAGCAGAAUGCAGGUGAUUUUAACCUCAAAAGCCUUGAAAUGCAUUGUGUCAAAUCUGUAGGAUCAGACUCCUCUUCCAUCUUGCAGAACUAGAAGAAUCAAACAUUAGUUAAAAUUUAUUUACUUUGGGUUUUUAACUGGGUGAGGGGAGGGGAAAGAAGCAUCAAUUCAUGGAUAGAACUGGAUCCAGGGUAAAGAACUGUAUCACAGAAUGUCUGUCUGCUCCCACCACAUGCUCAGGUCCAUGUUCAGACAGGUUUUGGAUGUCUUGGAGAAUGGAGACUCUACAACCUCCCUGGGCAACUGAUGCCAGGGCCUGGUUAUUCUCACAGUGAAGAAGUGUUUCCUGAUGUUCAGAGUAUUUCAGUUUGUGCCCAUUGCCUCUGGUGCUGUGAAUCAUACUGGAUUUGCAAAUGCUUUGUUUGCUCCUUUUGUUUUCUGGACUCAGAAGAAGUGGAGUGUUUGAAGAAUCAGCAGAAUCAAAGUUAACUUCAGAAAUAGUUUAAAUAUAAGGGGGAUUAACCCUGACUUUAAGAAGUGCUACCCUGCCUAGAUUUGAAAAAGUUUGAAUAUGCACAAAGGAUAUAACUGGAAAGAAUGUUAAAAGAAAAUAUUACCAUUAGUUAUGUUAGUAAAGUUCCUUUGCUGAAUCAUAUGACAAUUUUAGAUGGUAAGCUACUUUUUAUAGAAUGUAAGGACUCUCAAAUCUGCAUAUUAAAGACUGAGACAGUCAUAUAUGAAAAGUAUUUUUUCUGAAUAAAGUUUCAUAUAUGUGAUUCAUCUCCUUUUCAUUAGUUUCUGACUUGCAUUUUUCUCCUUAAACACACAGGCCUUGCAUUUUAUAAUGCAACCUAUCUUUUAAGACAGAGAAUUUGACUGAUAAAAGAGAGAAACAGCAUAAACUUUUAAUUAAACAGGUAUUUCCCCAAAUAGUUUUUUUUUACCAAGGAGAUCUUGCAGGGCAAAUAGGCCACUACCCAGCUGUGCACUACCUUGAAUAAAAUACAGCAAUCCUUU